ensembl:lncRNA ZNF37BP zinc finger protein 37B, pseudogene
GGGCUUUCUGCGCAUGUGCGCGGUGUGGCUCCAGGUGAAGGAUGCCCGGAGGCCUCGGCAGGACCGUGCGGAAACGGGCCUUCUGCCCAAAAGAUGCUGCUUCUCUCCUUAUUCUUUCCCCUCAGAAUCUCGCUGUCUCCUUCCAACCACCUGUGGUCGGCAUCCCCGCGUUGUCACUGCGACGCAGAGGCGAGCGAGGUGGCGGGAAGCACCCGCGGGGCGGGGAGGGACCCUGCGGGCGCGGACUCCACACCAAGCCUCUGCUCAGCGUCACCCCGCUUGCUGUGUCCUCGCAGGUCGCAGCUUCAUGGCCUGAUGCCUUCAGGAAGUAUUUUGAAGUCAUCGUGGCUGUGGAUUGGGGGAUUUCUUGUUUCCACUGACCUGUGAGGCCGCGCACGUGGAGGGAGGCACCCCGGGUCCUCCGGCACUGUCCGGCCUCGCCUGUGUCCCUAGUAGCAGUGGGCAUUUCCAGACGGUGCAGCUUGUGGCUAAAGUGACAGGAAGAUGUAGGAGCUUUCAGUCUUGGAUGAGGAUUCGAACUGAAGGGCUUAGGCCCAGCUGUCUUGGAGCAAAACAUCUGUUGUGGGGUGAGAAGGGAAAGGAGGGGUGAGGGUGCAGGGGCCCUCCUAGGAGGACAUCGGACCUGUUGGGCCGAGACCUCAUUAGAGAUCUAGAGCACGGAUGGGAGGAGCAGAGGCUCGAUUUGUGUCCUGUUCAGACUCCCACAGGCUGGGUGAUGGUGGGAGAUUUGUGCCCAUUCAGAUGUGGCGGCAGAGGAGGGCAAGGCCGAAGGAGCAGACAGCACCGCUUCUUGGGGAGUUGUGAAGGCAUCAUGCGGAGGGCCGAGCUUAGCAGCCAAGUGGAGGACAGCACCCUCCAUGCCUGGAUUCGUUACUCGCUCGUUCUCGAUGUUGAGCUGCUGGCAUAUUGCAGCACAACUAGAGAUGUACGGAUGCCCCCAUCUUGAUCUUACAGAAUCAGAGGUGCAGCCGCAAGAAAGGUCUCUACACCCUCUCGGUUUUCUCUGCUCUGCCAACACUAGUGGAAUAUGAUCACAUCCCAGGGAUCAGUGUCAUUUAGGGAUGUGACUAUGGGCUUCACUCAAGAGGAGUGGCAUCAUCUGGACCCUGCUCAGAGGACCCUGUAGAGGAAUGUGAUGCUGGAGAACUACAGCCACCUUGUCUCAGUAGGGUAUUGCAUUCCUAAACCAGAAGUGAUCCUCAAAUUGGAGACAGGCAAGGAGCCAUGGAUAUUAGAGGAAAAAUUUCGAAGCCAGAGUCAUCUGGAAUUAAUUAAUACCAGUAGAAACUAUUCAAGAAUGAAGUUCAAUGAGUUUAACAAAGGUGGAAAAUGUUUCUGUGAUGAAAGCAUGAAAUAAUUCAUUUUGAAGAGGAACCUUCUGAAUAUAAUAACAAUGGGAACAGCUUCUGGCUGAAUGAAGACCUCAUUUGGCAUCAGAAGAUUAAAAAUUGGGAGCAACCUUUUGAAUACAAUGAAUGUGGGAAAGCUUUCCCUGAGAAUUCACUCUUCCUUGUACAUAAGAGAGCUUACACAGGACAGAAAACAUGCAAAUAUACUGAACAUGGGAAAA